GAUGAACGCUGGCGGCGUGCCUAAUACAUGCAAGUCGAGCGAACAGACGAGGAGCUUGCUCCUCUGACGUUAGCGGCGGACGGGUGAGUAACACGUGGAUAACCUACCUAUAAGACUGGGAUAACUUCGGGAAACCGGAGCUAAUACCGGAUAAUAUAUUGAACCGCAUGGUUCAAUAGUGAAAGACGGUUUUGCUGUCACUUAUAGAUGGAUCCGCGCCGCAUUAGCUAGUUGGUAAGGUAACGGCUUACCAAGGCAACGAUGCGUAGCCGACCUGAGAGGGUGAUCGGCCACACUGGAACUGAGACACGGUCCAGACUCCUGCGGGAGGCAGCAGUAGGGAAUCUUCCGCAAUGGGCGAAAGCUUGACGGAGCAACGCCGCGUGAGUGAUGAAGGUCUUCGGAUCGUAAAACUCUGCUAUUAGGGAAGAACAAAUGUGUAAGUAACUAUGCACGUCUUGACGGUACCUAAUCAGAAAGCCACGGCUAACUACGUG
rnacentral:rRNA from 1 species